rnacentral:rRNA from 1 species
CGGGGGGCAGCAGUGGGGAAUCUUGCGCAAUGGGCGAAAGCCUGACGCAGCAACGCCGCGUGCGGGAUGAAGGCCCUCGGGUUGUAAACCGCUUUCAGCAGGGACGAAGAUGACGGUACCUGCAGAAGAAGCCCCGGCCAACUACGUGCCAGCAGCCGCGGUAACACGUAGGGGGCGAGCGUUGUCCGGAUUUAUUGGGCGUAAAGAGCUCGUAGGCGGUUCCGUCAGUCGGGUGUGAAAACUCUGGGCUCAACCCAGAGACGCCACCCGAUACUGCGGUGACUAGAGUCCGGUAGGGGAGUGCGGAAUUCCUGGUGUAGCGGUGAAAUGCGCAGAUAUCAGGAGGAACACCAACGGCGAAGGCAGCACUCUGGGCCGGUACUGACGCUGAGGAGCGAAAGCGUGGGGAGCGAACAGGAUUAGAUACCCGAGU